rnacentral:rRNA from 1 species
UCGUAACAAGGUUUCCGUAGGUGAACCCGCGGAAGGAUCAUUACCUAGAGUUUGUAGACUUCGGUCUGCUACCUCUUACCCAUGUCUUUUGAGUACCUUCGUUUCCUCGGCGGGUCCGCCCGCCGAUUGGACAACAUUCAAACCCUUUGCAGUUGCAAUCAGCGUCUGAAAAAACAUAAUAGUUACAACUUUCAACAACGGAUCUCUUGGUUCUGGCAUCGAUGAAGAACGCAGCGAAAUGCGAUAAGUAGUGUGAAUUGCAGAAUUCAGUGAAUCAUCGAAUCUUUGAACGCACAUUGCGCCCCUUGGUAUUCCAUGGGGCAUGCCUGUUCGAGCGUCAUUUGUACCUUCAAGCUCUGCUUGGUGUUGGGUGUUUGUCUCGCCUCUGCGUGUAGACUCGCCUUAAAACAAUUGGCAGCCGGCGUAUUGAUUUCGGAGCGCAGUACAUCUCGCGCUUUGCACUCAUAACGACGACGUCCAAAAGUACAUUUUUACACUCUUGACCUCGGAUCAGGUAGGGAUACCCGCUGAACUUAAGCAUAUCA